GGGAAACAUGGGAGCGAUCCCACAGUGGGACGGGCGUGGCAGAGGAGGGAGGAGCACUUGUUUGGGUAAGGCUUGCCUUACCUGUGGAAGGGAAAGAGAGCACAUAAAUGGAAGAAGGUGAGCAGGUGGACUUUCCCUCUGACCUGGAGGAGCAGGAGCUCGGGGAAGAUGUGGAUGGUGUUUUUGCUGAGUUGCCUCUCUAGUGCCCGCACACAGUAGGGGUAGCGAUGACUGGAUGAACAUGGAGAGGGAGGAGGGACUCGGGCCCUUCCUUUGGCCUCAGGGCCUUUCCUGGGGACCUGUUUCUGCUCAUGGACUCCUUCUGCCUUCCCCAGUCUUCACUCAUCUCUGCUCUUACAGCUAGCUCCAAAGGCAACCAAAGAUGUCUCUGGUGAAGGGGAGAAGAAGCCCCCUCAGGUGGGCAAAGCCUCUGCGCCCACACCUGUGGAGAAGCCACAGACCCCAGCUGAGCCCAAGGUGAGGGAACAGAAGAAGCGGCCGCCCAAGGAGAAGCCGCUGCCCGGGCCGGCCCCACCCCUGCAGCUCUCGGGGGAGCAGGUGCGCAGCGCUGUGGCUGACUCCCUGAGGGAGGUGCUCUUGAAACGGUGAGGCUCUUUGCAAUCUCCCUGGGGACCCCGGAGUCCCCGGGGUCGCCCCCAGUUCCCAUGUUCUGGUUGUAGAAUGGCAGAUUAGAACCGUCCAUCUGACCCCCCUUUAGAGAGAGGGAAAUGGGGACCUGGGCAUUCAUGACAUCAUGAGAUAGGGGCACCUGCUGCUGCUUGGGGGGGUGGGGCCACAGGCUCCCUGGGACAGGGCACAGAGGCCAUGGGGAC
rnacentral:lncRNA from 1 species